rnacentral:misc_RNA from 1 species
AAGGAUCAUUAUUGAAUAAACUUGUUUGGGUUGUUGCUGGCUCUUAGGAGCAUGUGCACGCCUGACACAUUUUUACCACCUGUGCACCCUUUGUAGACCUGGAACACCUCUCGAGGCAACUCGGUUUGAGGAUUGCCGCCGCUGAAAAGCCGGCUUUCCUUGCGUUCCCGGUCUAUGUCUUUAUAUACCCCAUGAAUGUAACUGAAUGUCUUUAAUGGGCCUUAGUGCCUUUAAAUCAAAUACAACUUUCAACAACGGAUCUCUUGGCUCUC